rnacentral:rRNA from 1 species
GAUGAACGCUGGCUACAGGCUUAACACAUGCAAGUCGAGGGGAAACGGCAUUGAGUGCUUGCACUGAAUGGACGUCGACCGGCGCACGGGUGAGUAACGCGUAUCCAACCUUCCCGUUACUGCGGGAUAACCUGCCGAAAGGCAGACUAAUACCGCAUGUUCUUCGAUGACGGCAUCAGAUUCGAAGCAAAGAUCCGUCGGUAACGGAGGGGGAUGCGUCUGAUUAGCUAGUUGGCGGGGCGACGGCCCACCAAGGCGACGAUCAGUAGGGGUUCUGAGAGGAAGGUCCCCCACAUUGGAACUGAGCCACGGUCCAAACUCCUACGGGAGGCAGCAGUGAGGAAUAUUGGUCAAUGGGCGGAAGCCUGAACCAGCCAAGUAGCGUGCAGGAUGACGGCCCUACGGGUUGUAAACUGCUUUUAUGCGGGGAUAAAGUGAGGGACGCGUCCCUUUUUGCAGGUACCGCAUGAAUAAGGACCGGCUAAUUCCGUG